CACAGUUAAAUGCUUGAACCUUAAUGAUAAUUGCUACUAAUCCUUCAAGAAAAAUGAUCAGAGUUCAGUAAACCACAAGGAGCAGAUUUUGCUGUAAACUUCAGAAACAUCUCACCACAAAGUCACCGUCAUGAUGACCUGUACUUCCAACAUAAAUAACUGAAGAAAAGCUUGAAAGAAAGAAAAUGAGAAGACAGGAAUGUGGGUUCCAUGGAACUUGGAAGAAUCAAAGUGGGAAUCCUGGGAACCGAUGCCAUAGAAUAAAGUUGCUGCUUCAUUCCAUAGGUGAGGAAAUUGAAGAAAUAAAACCAAGAGAAGGAUAAACAAGGAUAUUUUUUAUUUCCAGUAUUUUUUUUUUUUCUGUGUUUCAUUUUAGGGCAUAUUCUGCUUUCAUGUGCAGAGCUGUAAGCCCAGAGCAGCUCAGCAACAUGCUCCUAUAGUCAGUCCUUCCCUGACUCUGUUGAUUCAAUGCAUAAAAGGUUGACAGUGAAGAAAACGUGAAAUACAGUAUAAUGAAUAGAAGCAGCUGCAACAGCAUCACGGUCUGUCUGCAAGCAGAUGACCAUUCCUGUCUGAAAAUGUUCCAAAAACCUGCCUGAAUUUAAUUUUCUCUUUAAAACUGAAAGUGUUCUGAUUAUUAUUCAAUAAUUAAUUACAUAUUUUAUAAACAGGCUUUAUGCAAUGUGCAGUACUUUUGGGAAAGCUCACCACAAAUAGUGAUUCACGUAGACAAGUGUCUAGAAUUGUAUUUUUUAUUUAUUUAUUUUUUUUUUAGUAAAAAAUAUUUUCUAAUAUUGAAAGCCAGUGGUAUUACAUUACUUUUCACAACUGUUUUUAUCACCAGGGUCUUGGUAAGGUUAUCUUCUGCUUGCAGAUUCCUCAUUGUGUAAGUUUUAAGUGCAGCACAUGUAGCUUUUUGGCUAAAUAUCUAUGGAGUAUACUUUACAUAUGUAAGACCACCUACAUAUUAAUGUGUUUUUAAAAAUAUAUAAUAUUGAAAGAACAGAUAAAAUGAUUCCAUGGGACUGUGAAAAACAAAACAAAACACAAAAUUUUCAGGUACAAAAAAAAAGGAAAAAAGAAAAAUAAAAUUUGAAAAAGGCAACA
rnacentral:lncRNA from 1 species